rnacentral:lncRNA from 1 species
AUGGAUGAUCAAAGUGAGACAACUAUGUCGGCAAUCACAUUGCUUGCGCUAAUAUUUACGUUAACAGUUGUCUCAGGUGCAUCCCUUAGCGACCAGGUUCGCCAAACUCCGCCUGAGAUGGUUGUGGCUAUUACGUCAGGAGCAACAGUCACGCUGAACUGCUCCCACAGAAUUGAGAACUACGAACGUAUCCUCUGGUACAAACAGCAACACAACGAUAAACAGCUGAAGUUACUAGGGAAUUUAUUCACAACAGCAGCAAAUACUGAAAAGGGAAUCGAUGUUGUAAUCAGUGGGAGUGCUUACAAAGACCAAAUGGCCACGUUAACGAUACCAAACAUCGGCGUGGAGAGCAGCGCUGUGUAUUUCUGUGCUGCUAGCUUCCACAAUGCAGCGUAUUAGGGGUUCACCGUACAAUAACUCCUCGUCUAAUAAUUCAUCAAAUAACCUCCCUGCACCUGCAGAUACUGCUUUAGCCUCAGCCGGAUCUUCCCUUCAUUGCCAAAACCACAACCUGUUUACUAUGGGAAAUUCUUCAGUCUGUAGCAAAGUAAUAAUCCCACAUGGUUGGGUUAUAUGUUUGAUAUAAACAACAUGACAUGACAUUUAUAUCCAAAUCAAGAUCUUAUUGACCAAACUACUACGAUAAAGUAUUUAUCGAAGACUUAUGGGGUGUUUGUGUGUUGUUAUUGGUAUAUUUUCUCACUAUAAUUUUAUGACCCAGGAGAGCAUUGUGCCAAUUCCCUCCUUUAUCUCUACCAACACAUGGGUACACAAGCCUAUCACUUAGGCCAGAAUCAGUUGAAAUGAGACUCCUGUUUAUACUUUACUUCACAGGUAAUAACUAGAAUCGAUUAAAUAAUCCAUUAUGUAAUAUUUUUAACCAUUUUCAUAUCUUAUAAUUAUCAGGUUGAUGGAAAUGAAUGAGAAAUUUUAUAUCAUUUAGCAAUAUUGUUGUAAACCAAUGUACAAUAUUUCAUGUUGGAGUAUGUUAGUAUAGAGUGGUUAAAAUGACAGUCUCUUCUCAUUCUCAUCUUUCCACAGGGGUGUCUCUGGGUAUUGAAGUCAAUCAGACACCCUCAGAACUCAUCAGGAAACCUGGGGAACGUGCAGAGUUUGUCUUUAGGAACGUGGAAACAGACUAAAGUGGUGCUGUGGUAUCAGCAGUCUGCUGGACGGAAUGACCUCAGUCUGAUCGGACUCGUAAAUUUCCAUGCCAGCUAGGUAGAAAGUACGUUUCAAAAGGACUUCUCAAUUUCUGGGGAUCUCAACGGGGAGACAGCCAUGAACAGCUCUCUUAUUGUUUGUCUGAAAGACCGUCAGACAAGUGGCUUGUAUUACUGGGCUGCUAGCAUAGAACAACAACACACAAACAACGCUCCUCUUUACAAAAACCCAGCAUUAUGUCGUUCUUAUCAGCGGCAGUUUGGAAUUAAAAUCUCAACUAAGUAGUCCACCGGCCACCUGUGUUUGACGUUGAUGUGGAUUUUUUUUUCCUUAUCGUUUUCGACCAAUCAUGUGCUGUAUUUCUCCCCAGGACAAUCUGUUGGCUCAUCAGAACUAGCUUAAGACAUGAUUGGUCAAUACCAAUACCAAGCACUAGGGGGUGUUCUUUAGUUGUUUUGUGUUCGAGUCGCACAACAAAUCAGACAUUUUGAGGGUAGUACCUUCUCUUUUAUAAACAUUUACACAAAAAGGCUCCGCCCAAUCCGGUACGGUUCAAAUGGAAAUAGGAGCCACUGCCUUCCUUAUAAUGAAAGUUGAAAGGGUCAUCACAUGUACGAAAUGUACUCAAUAGGGGUUUGUUUAUAGGAUGAAUGGCCCAAGCUAGAUAGUAU